GACAGAGGCCUCGAGCGUUAGGCGGAAUCACUGGGCUUAAAGCGUGUGUAGGCGGGCCCGUAAGUGUCUUGUGAAAUCCCACGGCUCAACCGUGGAACUGCUGGGCAUACUGCGGGUCUUGGGCCAACUAGGGGCAGCCGGAACAAGCGGUGGAGCGGUGAAAUGCGUAGAUAUCGCUUGGAACGCCGAAGGUGAAAACAGGCUGCUGGGGUUGCGCCGACGCUGAGACACGAAAGCCAGGGAGCAAACGGG
rnacentral:rRNA from 1 species